rnacentral:lncRNA from 12 species
GUGAACUGUCAUUAUGAGGCUUUAUGAUGUUACACCUUCAACCCAAAGAGGCUAGAUGAAGUCAUAUUGAGUUCCUAACACUGAUACCAGGAAAUGACAAUAACAUUAAGGAAAAAUACUUUGUCACUUUGUACUGCAAAUAUAUAUGAUAUCCCCAGAGAAAAGCAGGUAGUGUGGUGCAUUUGUAAAAUGCUAUAGUGGCACUGAGGACCCAAGAACUGCAAGUUUGGUUUGGGAUCAUUACUUGAGACAGGUUAGUCUCCUGCACCACACACUCCUCAGUAGCUGCAGGAUGCUACAUGAGCUCCUGCAGCUUGGCUUCCAGUUAGUUUAAACAGAAGGGAAUUCCACUCCUGCUUAAG